GACGAACGCUGGCGGCGUGCUUAACACAUGCAAGUCGAACGGAGUGUCGAACGGGUGAGUCACACGUGGGUCAUCUGCCUUGGACUUCGGGAUACGCUUGGGAAACUGGGUCUAAUACCGGAUAGUGCAAGAUGAGCUCGCGGCCUAUCAGCGUGUUUGUGGGGUAAUGGCCUACCAAGGCGUCGACGGGUAGACGGCCUGUGAGGGUGUACGGCCAAAUUGGGACGGAGAGACGGCCCAGACUCCUACGGGAGGCAGCCGUGGGGAAUAGUGCACAAGGGGCGGAAGCCUGAUGCAGCGACGCCGCGUGGGGGAUGAAGGCCUUCGGGGUGUAAACUCCUUUCGUCAGGGACGCGGUACCUGUAUAAGAAGCACCGGCUAACUACGUGCCAGCAGCCGCGGUAAUAC
rnacentral:rRNA from 1 species